AACGAACGCUGGCGGCAUGCCUAACACAUGCAAGUCGAACGGGAUCCUAGCUUGCUAGGUGAGAGUGGCGGACGGGUGAGUAACACGUGGGAAUCUGCCUUUUGGUUCGGGAUAACCGCGGGAAACUGCGGCUAAUACCGAAUGCCCUCGUGAGAGGAAAGAUUUAUCGCCAGAAGAGGAGCCCGCGUCCGAUUAGGUAGUUGGUGGGGUAAAGGCCUACCAAGCCGACGAUCGGUAGCUGGUCUGAGAGGAUGAUCAGCCACACUGGGACUGAGAUACGGCCCAGACUCCUACGGGAGGCAGUAGUGGGGAAUAUUGGACAAUGGGGGCAACCCUGAUCCAGCAAUGCCGCGUGAGUGAUGAAGGCCUUAGGGUUGUAAAGCUCUUUUACCAGGGAUGAUAAUGACAGUACCUGGAGAAUAAGCUCCGGCUAACUCCGUGCCAGCAGCCGCGGUAAU
rnacentral:rRNA from 1 species